rnacentral:misc_RNA from 1 species
CUUAACCUUAGAGAUGUCCACAAAAAUAGUUUUUUGUGAAUCUCAAUGCAUGAAGUGUUUCCAUCAGUUGCAAUUCUUGUUACCCCAUUGUUUGUGACCAGGAAUCCACUUAGGACACUUUGGACUAAAAUAAUUUGACAUGAUCCUUGAGUUCAAAAGCUCCACAAGAGGUGCAUAUUUCACACAUCUAGGGGUCUUGUACUGGUUUAUUGAU